CUACACAGUCCUCUGCUGCUAGGCUAGAGUUCCAAUGGCGAUGAAUAUGGAAGAUUACACGAUAGACGAAGAUGAUGACUUCGACUACCAAGAUACAAGACCGUACCUUUUCGAACCCGAAUUCACUGAAGAGGAGUUGCGAGCUUUGGAUCUGGGAAGAGAGGACGUUGCGACUGGUCAAGGCGAGUCGGAUGAAAGGACGAGAGCAAACACGAACUGGUGGUGUGAGUGUGGAGUAUGCCAACCCAUGCCGACUGAAAUGGAGUGUUUGUGCUGUGCAGAGUGGCAUACAAUACUGCCAUCGAUGGUGAGCAACGCUCCCGAAGAGGAGCGUGACGGUACCUGUGUCACUACUACCGACUUCUCUGCAAUGAUCCAUCCUGCAGUCCUAAGUUUUUUUUUCCGGCGCGACAAAGUGAACUGGAAAAGAAACAACACACCGAGUGGACCCAAUGGACAGCUGUGCACAGAGCAAUACAUAUUGGUAUCGUAUCGUGUUGUGUUGGAGUGGGCCCUAAAGGGAGAGACACUGGGCAAAGGGAAGCGAACGCCAUUGCCACCUUGUGUGAUUGCAUCAAUCCGACAGAACUUUCCAUCUGAGUCUGGUAUUUACGUUGGGUAUCAAGAGGUACAGGAGGCGAUGGAUAUAGCCUAAUUAUUGCAUUUUAUGGCUUUGUAAAAUCUUACUGUACAUAUCUAUAUAACCUGGAAUAUCUAUACUGUUGUUACCAUAGACUGUAUAUAUAGAACUGGACAGUGUGGCUGCACUCAGCCGUGUUCUAUGGAAUUGAAGCAACCGCGGCGACGCCAUCUUGCAGCCAGUUUGAAGUACGCUUGCGCAGUAGGAUUGGACGCAUGCGCAGUGAUGAGGAGGUCGGAGCAGACACGCCCACACAACGAGUGAAACACGCCCCUCACCGCACCGCGUCGACGCCCUGGCUGAGAAGCUACGGUAUCGUUGACAGUUCGUUCGUGUGUCUAGGUUUACGUUGGUGAACUUUCUCUGGUGGCAUUUCCCAUGUCCUUUCUCCAGUCCCCGGACGUCCAUCUCAUCCACUUUGACAGGAACAACCUCAGACAUGUCGAGCGUGAUAUUGAAAGGUGUACAGUAGAUUGCCUGAACAGUGUAGGACACUGGCUAUGUUCAUGAUCAUGAUAUUGUAUCAUAUUUUAAACUUGCAGUAUAUCCCUUAACUCAAACUUAAGCUAUUCUCAUUUGCCCUCAUUGUAAAGGUUGCUGGACUCUGUGUGCAUUGGAAACUGACAAUAAAAAUGAAAAACUUAAUGUUUACUUGCUAUCAAAACCAUUGUUAUUCAAACGUUGACAUGUUCACAUUAUAUAUGGGUCAUGGUUAUAGAAUUUAACAUGAUAUAACAUGAACAAGUUCAAAUUACCAGUAAACAGUUUUAAAUGGUUGGUAAGCCUACAUUAAGCAAAAAUAAUGAUGAUACAAAAUAUCCACAAAUGACCAUGUUUUAUUGUGUUUGCCAAGGGGUGAGGGGGGGUUAGUCAUUAACUUAGAGAGAUUUCAGCUCUGGUGGCAGCAGCGUUG